AAUCUUAUUAAUUAAGUUUUAUAUUAAGUGAGUUGGUUUUCCAACUAUGACGAUAAACGAAUUUCGUAAUAAGCAUUGCGGACGUGGGGGCAGUACCCACCACCUCCACCAUUUACAACUUAUGGGGGUGAACUAGGAUCGACGGAUGUCUAAAGGUUAUUCUUUCGUUCGGGAUUGUUCCACCGUGACGGGCUAAAUUAUAAUUGCAAAUACUAAAUUUGCUCUCGCUGCUUAAUUA
rnacentral:tmRNA from 1 species